CACCGCGGUUAUACGAGAGGCUCAAGUUGAUAAAUGCCGGCGUAAAAUGUGGUUAACAUAAAAAUAUACUAAAGCUAAACAUCUUCAAAGCUGUUAUACCCACACGAAGACAGGAAGACCUUCUACGAAAGUGGCUUUAAAUGAUGCUAACCCACGAAAACUAGGAAA
rnacentral:rRNA from 1 species